UACGUAGGGACCAAGCGUUGUUCGGAUUUACUGGGCGUAAAGGGUGCGUAGGCGGCGCGGUAAGUCGGGUGUGAAAUCUCGGGGCUUAACUCCGAAACUGCAUUCGAUACUGCCGUGCUUGAGGACUGGAGAGGAGACUGGAAUUUACGGUGUAGCGGUGAAAUGCGUAGAUAUCGUAAGGAAGACCAGUGGCGAAGGCGGGUCUCUGGACAGUUCCUGACGCUGAGGCACGAAGGUCAGGGGAGCAAACGGC
rnacentral:rRNA from 1 species